UGCUUUCGAGGCCUUGUUGAUUCCUCGAUGCAACCACAUCUUCCAUUCCAUGAAGUGAUCAUAUGGUGGUGCUCCAAAUGAUGAUCCGUCCUCCUAAAUGGGCCUCUGGAUUUCAAAUCCCCAGCGUGUGCCUCUUUGCCUACCAUAUGCUGACUCAGCUGUCAUGUCCAGAUCAGUGGCCUUUGGUCCAGGAUACAUUUUUUUUGCGUGGAAGGUACCCAGCGUUGGUGAGCUUCUGUAAGCUUUUUGCUGUAAAACGAGCAUUAAGUUAUGCAAUCUUUACAACAGGGUUUGGGAAUUAAAAUUGUAAUAUGCAGCAGGUUUCGUCCUAAAGCAAAUAGUUUUGUAAUCUUUGUGGUGUCAGCCAUUUGUUAAUGGCAACUGUGGCUUCUCUAAACAUGUGUUUUAUUCUUCCCUGCUGCUUUUGUUGUGUAUAACAUUACGAGAGUUUAUAUACAUCAAUUCAUGAAGUUUCCAUGUGGGGCAAAUGGUUAUCGGAUAUAUCUAACAUGCUAAGUUCUGUCGAAAUAAAUCAUAAAAGCAGAGUCGCCUAUUGGAACGGUAAUGCUGCUAUCCUUUGUUCCUUUUGUGGCUUGUUUCAGAUUGAAACUGAACUUGAUUGCCAAACAUUAUUAGAAUUGAUUGUGCUAUGGAGCAAACCAAACAGACAUACAUUGCGAGGCAUCAAUAAAUAUGUCGAGCAUUGUAAUUCUUGCUUCGUCCUAAGUAAAUUCGGUUGGUAGAAAUGCUUAUAAAACUAAGAGCCUGGUCAUAAAAGAAGAUGACCCUAGCCCAUGAUCGUUUGGAAAUAAGAUCAUUUUUGCUCGUUUAUUUUUUAAGCAAUUAUUGCACCCGAAUCUGUGAAAAAUGAAGGAAAUUGAAUUGAGAUUUGAUAAAACUAGUAUUAUGCCGGUGCUAACAUGAUGGCUCAAUAUAGUAAUGCAAAUAAGAUAUCAAAAACUCUUUCAAAUGUAAUUAUACAAACCAAACAUUCGAAAUUGAUUGUCUAUCAAGCAUUUUUUAAUAUGAUUAUUAUUUGUUAAUAUGACUUUUAGUUUUGUAUAUUUAAUUAUAGGUUGGCACAUUGUAAUUAUAUUUUUUCAAGGUUGGAUAGUAAUUUCAGAACUUGCGUUGGUCAAGUUUAUACACUAAUUUCAUAAACAUUGCAACAAUAAGUUAACACAUUAAUUACUACAAGGUCAAAUUCAUAUGUUGCUAGGAUAAUUUUAAUUAAAUAAUUUACUUACAUUAUCUAAUAUCAACACAAUAAAGCUAAAUUUAAACAAACAUGUUUUGUAUCCAAUACAAACAUCCCUUCUUAUAAUAAAUAAAAAAUUAUUGAUGUUUGAAUAUGUGAAAUGACAAAACAAUGGUGUAAUUCUUAAAUAAUACGUAAUUCAGUCUAAAUUUGUUAUGAAUUUAAAAAAAUCGUUGUGUAUUCUUAUAUUACAUAAAAAUAUAUUUAAAUCAAAUAUUAAAUGAUCAUAUAAUACUUAGCAAAUAUUUAUCACACAAGUUCUUAUCAAUGUAAAAUAUAUGAAAGUUUUUAACAAAGUAAAAUUACUAAUAAUGUUUUCAUUGGUUGUGUUUCCUGUUCAUUAUUAUCAGAAGGUGCACAUAUCUUUUAAUGAUUAAAAAAUACUCUGCAGCGAUGCAUUAUCUAACAAAUCAAGUAAUUUACUUAUUUCACAUAUUUUGCUAUGAAAAUAUUUUUAGAAUCCAAAAUACUCAUUCUUAUAUACCAUAUAUUAUUUCUAAUAUUAUUCUUAGCACGAUUGUGAUAUGGUGUUGAACAAAACUUUAUAGUUUUGGUAUCGUUGGUAAUAUUCUAAUAUUGUUUUGUCCCGACUUAUAUUAUUGCACAUGUCACCGCAAUAUUGUGAUUCUAAAAGUAUAAUGGCAUGUUUAUAGGGUGAUUAUUUGGCUUUUCACGGAAAAACCGAAUGACAUAUUUUUUUUAUUCAUUUAAUUGCCGCGUUGUGGUUUGGUUUUUCGCGUUCGACGACUGAUUCGCAUGCAUAUCAUCACAAUAGAAAAACAGAAUAAGACAAAUAAAAUCAUUUAUUUCGUUUACAUAUGCAUAUUACAUUCUUUUUCAUAUUUUAAGUAUACAUCAGUGUCUGUCAUUGUGAAUAGUACAGUAGUUAAAAAAAUGUGGUGUUUACUGUCACACCAAAUUAAUUUAGGAGGAUACGAAUUUAUAUUUUAGACACCAUAGAAAUAUUGUGAGUUAUUCCUGUCAUAUAUUUUGCAACCAAACCAUAUAGGGACGCAAAAUUAGUAGCAUGAACUAUCUCUACAAAUUUCCAUGAAUAUUCAAUUUUAGAAAACCCUAAGUUGUUGGGCAAUUACAAAUCAGUCCCUAAACUCAGAGUUACCUCCUAAAUCUUGAAAAUUUUAGGGGCUGGAAUGAAAAAGGUAUCAAAUAUCUACAUUUUGCCAAAAUUUCCAUUUUUCUGGAAAUCAGUAAAAUUCUCAAAAUUUUCCAACGAGCAAGCAAAUGUGAGUUGUCAAGCUCUGCUGCCAGCAAGUUCUUUGCAGGUGAGUCGCCUAGAAAAACACUGUACACAGUAAUAAAAUCUCUCAAAUUCACUGUAACCAGAGUCUCACCAGUAAGCCAUUCCAAAUCAAUUCACACAGCACAGCCGUAAAACUCAGUACAACCAAAGGAGAGUUAGAGAGAGCAAAAUCUGAGCAAGAAGAGGGCAAGACCAGCAAGCUCAGGUGGAGCAGGGGCUCCAGCUCCAGAAGGAGCAGGUACCCCAGUUCAAGGAGAAGAAGAUUGUUAUAGCAAAAUUAUUCUGAUCCAGAGAGUGGCAGUAGAAGCACAAGAGGAGUUUUACCACACAUCCUUCAGUAUCAGAAUAGAAGCAACAAAAAGGUAACCAAAACUUUAAAAACAAAGGAGGAGAGAGGAUACUGCAUACUAAUCAGUAGCAUUCGUAUUUUAGAUGGAUAUAAAUUCACAUCAAUCUUGAGUUUAGGUUGAGAGAAAGGUAUUGCAUAUUUUUUUUACGGGACAAUCAUAGUUGGUCUGUGUGCUAUUAUAGUUCUGUAAAAAUAAAUAUUUAAUUCAUGAAACAAUUAGUGAGAAAUAGAGCAUGCAUAAGAAUCGGACAUAGUUAGAGUGUUCAGUUUAUUUUAUUAGUAUGGAUAUCAACCUUAUAAGUAUUUAGUCAUAAUUAUCAUCUCUGAAAUAUAAUUACCUUUAGAAGUUUAAAGUUAGACAUUAUUUCAGAACACUGCAUUCUUAAUUUGAAGGAACCUAGCAACCACUCUGAACCAAUAUAUAAAAGCUAUAGAAACUAAAGUGUCAGAUUGUAGUAGUAGUAUAUACAUCCCAGCUAUAUAUGCAAUCACAGUGAAGAACUUUAGACGAGGAGAUAUAUGUGUGUGUACUGUAUAGCAGGAGAAAAGGGGGAAAAGGGGAUCCUAGAGUUAGUGAAAUUACUUGUGAAUGUUGGGGUCACCGGAGUUGACAGAACUGCAACCGACCUUCUUCACGGCGGCCACCAUUGGAGCUGGGUGCCGACGGCCAAGGGGGCUGCAUAUAUCCAGAUCUAGGUGAGAGAGAAAGAGAGAGAGAAAGGUAGAGAGCAGUAGAGAGUGAGGGGCUUGGCAUGAAGCAAGCUUGGAACUUCGAUUAGCAGCAGCAAAGGAGUCACUAGAGGUAGAGCACAACAACAGCAGCAGUGAAGAAAUGGAGCUGCAAUAGCAGCAGCAAGGUGAGAGUGUAUGUAUGUGCGUGUGAGAGAGAGAGCAGGCAGGAGAAAGAAGAUAAUAAGAGGAGAACAGU
rnacentral:lncRNA from 1 species